rnacentral:rRNA from 1 species
UACGUAGGGUGCAGGCGUUAAUCGGAAUUACCGGGCGUAAAGCGUGCGCAGGCGGUCUGCUAAGACAGGUGUGAAAUCCCCGGGCUUAACCUGGGAACUGCGCUUGUUACUGGCAGGCUGGAGUGUGGCAGAGGGGGGUGGAAUUCCACGUGUAGCAGUGAAAUGCGUAGAGAUGUGGAGGAACACCGAUGGCGAAGGCAGCCCCCUGGGCUAACACUGACGCUCAUGCACGAAAGCGUGGGGAGCAAACAGG